UUGGAGUGGGGUGGGGGAGCCCAACAGAGCUACACAGGGGUGGCCCGUAAAAACAAUCAAUUAUUUACCUUUUCUGUCAUCACCUUAAAGGGAUAUUCUAGCGUAAAAUUAAUUUAGGGUCAAACACACGAAUGUUGCCGACCGCUUGCUUCUCUAGUUAUACUAACUUAAGUAAUGACCGCACUAUAGCAAUACAGAGAGUUAUGUGCUCAACCAAAACGCCACUCUAUAGCCACAAAUAAUGCUCAGAACAGCACCUAGCUUCAUCAACAGGACAUAUAGGGUCCCAGCCAUAGUACUAGCCACCAAACAUCUUUUUAACUUUGCCUGAUUUCUGUAGCAAAGAGACUAAACACAACUCACCUACUCUCUUCCAGCAGCCGCUUGUUUGUGGCGAGACCACAGGCCAGUCCAUUACGGACUACAGCGGGUUGACUCAGCUCAAGGAAGAACAUUUAUAAUCAUUUCUUUAUCAUUUCCUUGAAGUAAUAAUCAUCAUAUUAAUCAUUUUGCACUGCAAACGUGGUAGUACUUCUGCCUUCCCACUGCGUCCCAAUAUGACGUCGAAAUGACAUCUAUUUAACGUAUUUUUUCGAUGAUGAGAUGCAAAUGUGGAUGUCAUUUCAACGUCUAAAAGAGGUCCAAUAAUGACGUCUAAAUCUUGUAUCCAUCUUGCACAUUGUGCCGACGUCUAGAUUUGGUCUUCAGAUCACGUCCAAAUUCUAAACGUCAGAGCUACAUCUAAAAAAGGUCCAAUUUGGACGUCGAAAUUUCUAACCUAUUUUGCACGUCGCACUGACGUCUAGAUGUGGUCUUUGACAGACCGACCCAAUACUGACUUGAUCUGCACGUCUCUCUGACGUCCGAUGUUUGGCGGGUUAGUGUCUCGUUCUGAUUGCAUUUUCAUGAAGAAAUGAUCAUAAAUGUUCUUCCUUGAGCUGCGAAACCCCACUGUAGUCUGUAAUGGACUGGCCUGAGGUCUUGCUACAAGCGGCUGCUGGAAGAGAGUAGGUGGGUUGUGUUUAGUCUCUUUGCUAAAGAAAUUUGUCAAAGUUAAAAAGAUGUUUGGUGGCUAGUACUAUGACUAGGACCCUAUAUGUACUGUUGAAGUUAGGUGCUGUUCUGAGCAUUAUUUGUGGUUAUAGAGUGGCGUUUUGGUUGAGUGUGUGGCUCUCUGUAUUGCUGUCGUGUGGUUGUUACUAAAGUUGGUGUAACUAGAGAGACAAGCGGUCGGCAACAUUCAUCUCUCGACAGGUUGUCUAACUCAGUGUUACGGUGUAUUUGACCCUAACUUAAUUUUACGCCGGAAUAUCCCUUUAAGUCACUUGGAGGGUUCCCAACUGUUAAACUGUGCAAAUCCGUCAGGUUAAAGUUAACGAAGCUCAACCUGUUUCCAAUUAAAAACAUUUAUUCAUUUCACUCUGAGCUUUAGUUGCGUCUAAUCCUGGCGUGACUAAGCCUUCAGCUCUCCGCGUUUUGAUUGAACCAGCUGAUGUCCCUCUGCCCAGCUGCUCCCCGUCACUCCUGACUUUCUCCGACUUGCAUCUUCAGAGGAAAAAGCAAUUUUGUGAAGAUUCUUUGAUCCCUCAAGUGUCAGUUUGUUUGCCAGAGAAAUGGUUUCCAAGUCCUCAGCAUCCUGCCGUAUCCUAUCAGCCUCCUGAUGAAUAUCCCUCACAGCAUGCCAGCUUUCUGCUCUUGUCCACAACCAGUCUGUGUGCAUCAGUCUCCGUCCAUUACUCUUCAGCUGCCUUCAGUCUUCAUUCAACAAGUCUGUUCGGGUUUCCUAUUUGUCUUUCUGUCUGCUUUCUCCAUUUACUUUCAAUCCCAGUUUGUCCUCUCAGAUAAAUCUCCCUCGAACUUCUCUCAGCUGCUCUUCUCUCUGUGGGCUUUUUUUAGUUCUGAUACAAUCUCAAACUUCAUUUCAUAUCAGAUAUAUGAGUUUCAAAGAGAUGUCAUGUACAGGGGUGUGUCCAAGGGGGGAGCCAGGGUUGGGCGGGGCAGGCUGCGAAGUUACAAUCAAUUUGGCGUCAGCGAGCAGCAGUUGUGUGGCGUUUAUGACUUCAACAGUUGUGUCAAGAAACUGUCGUAAAACACGGCACAACAAUGGCCUUGUUAAACUGAUUUAAUAUCCUCCGCUCUGAAACAGAGCAGACGUCACAUCAAAGAUUGUUUAUAAACCUUUAGGAAAUGAUUGGUGGCAUUUUGAGUAUUUUUCAGUAGCUUCGUUUCUCCCCCCUGAGUGGAUCCACAAUCUGCCUUUUGCUGUAAAAUGUGUGUUGUUGUUUUUUUUCCCCCCAUCUCAAACUCG